CUAAUUAGGUAUGUGUUGGCAAUAGCAAUCCUAUCAGCAUUUUACACAGGAUUGCAAACAUGGAGGCAGGUUUAUGAGCUUUCCACUGCUCGAGAGAUUCUUUCACGGCACAAAACGGCCAUGAUUGACUUUUUUGGUGACCAGAUAGUGGCGUACUUGUUGAUAUCGGCAGCAUCAUCAGCAGUGCCUCUAACAAACAGAAUGAGAGAAGGUGCAGAUAACAUAUUUACAGAUUCGUCGGCAUCUGCAAUUAGCAUGGAAUUCUUUGCUUUCUUCUCACUCUCUUUGUCCUCUCUCAUUUCUGUUUACAAACUCUCUAAUCAAACUUAUAUCUGAUCGAUGAUCACCCAUUCAUAUUCAUUCAUUCAUCAGCAAGUUGUGUUGUUCCUUCACAUUUAUUUUGCUUUUACAUGUAAAUUUAUUUAUUGCUUAUAUAAUUAAUAUAUAUACAAGGAGCUAGGGCUUUUGCUUUUUGAAACUGCAUCGAUCGAUCUGUUUGUAAAGACUAAUGAGAAGAUUUUUUAUUCAGUUCAUGAUUUCUUUGU